AUCUGCAUAUUUACAGCAAAUAACCUUAAAAAGAAAAAGCGUCAUCAUUAUAAAUCAGCGCAUCUUCAUCCGCUUGCGCCCUCGUCUACUUCCAUUACGCUCAGAUAGAGCCAUCAGCUGAUCAUAGCUUCAAGCCUUAUGAUGUCGAUACAAAGACACGAAUGCUGAAAAGGACAAAAGAUCACAAGCGAGGAGGGACAACCGUCAUGAUGAAGAGGAAGAAGCUUCCAUGAGGUACGUGGCUUCUGGUAACAUUAUGAAUGAAUUCUAAUGACUGCAUAAUGGCACAUUACAGUUUCAAAACCCUUCACUAAUAUAUAUAUAAGAAGCUCAAGUCCACAAUUUGCUAUAAAAUCAGUGGCAUACAACUUCA